rnacentral:rRNA from 1 species
GACGAACGCUGGCGGCGUGCUUAACACAUGCAAGUCGAACGGUGCAUGCGGGAGUAUGCUCCCUCCGGUUCAGUGGCGAACGGGUGAGUCACUUGUGAGCAAUAUGCCCCCCCCUAUGGGAUACGCGUAGGAAAUGAUGUCUUAUAACCGAUAAGACGCCGGCGGUGAAUGUGCCCGCGUUGAAUGAACUACGGUUGGGGAUGAGCUCGGAGCCUGUCGGCUUGCUGGUGCGGUACUGGCACACCAAGGCGCCGACCGGGAGCCGGCCUGAGAGGGUGACCGGCCACGCUAGGACGGAGACACGGCCCAGACUCCAACGGGAGGCAACAGUGGGGAAUAUUGCACAAUGGGCGCAAGCCUAAUGCAGCAACGCCGCGUGGGGGAAGACGGCCUUCGGGUUGUAAACCUCAUUUAGCAUAGAAGAAGCGAAAGUGACGGUACCGGCAGAAAAAGCACCGGCUAACUACGUG